rnacentral:rRNA from 1 species
CGGGAUCCUCGCGGUCCGUCCAGCGCGNACACGCUGCCGUGCNCNGAUGUCCGGCGUUCGUCGUCGUGCACUUCUCCCCUAGNANAACGUCNCGACCCGCUGGGUGUCAGUCUACGGCCCGGGUGCGGNGACUGACGCNUCGCCGGUAAAACGGUACGCGUCAAAUCCUCGGUCGCCCGGCCGACUGCCCGGCGGUACACGCAAGGUACCAGGCCGCAACUCGCGCGCGCCACGGUACACGGAGGCUAACGGACCUAGCGCCGUCACCGGUCCUGGCCCGCUGUUGGUCGUACNGGUUAACCUUCGACUGGGCCUGCGAACGUUCCCCGCCUCGCGCGGGGAACCGAUACCGGUCGGCGACGCUACUGCUUUGGGUACUCUUANGACCCGUCUUGA